CUGGCACAGUGCGGUCCUUCCCAGAGCACACUGCCUGGGCGUGCUGCUACAAGAUGAGUGACAAUAAAAUCAGUUCUCAGGAAGAGAACAAGGUGUUCAAGGACACUCUGAAAACCCAGGUGACAAAACCGGAAGGAGAGGGGCUCCUGUGCACCCUCUGUGAUUGACGUGCUCCUCAGAGGUGCAGGUACCAGUGCUGAGGUGGCAGAACCCUAAGAGGAAAGUCAACGAUCACUCUGCUGUCAUGGAUGCGGUCACGGUCAUGCUGGCCUCACAGACGUCUAUUUCUUGUUCAUACUAGCAGCUCAAGGCAGCCAGAGGACCCAGGCCGUGCUGAAGCCUACGCCAUCUGGAAUGCUGCUGAGUUGUACAGAGUCCCUCACACUUCUCCCAGAGAGACGCCAUCAGUGACCUGCUCCAUAAACCACGGACCAGUGACUCCUGGGGAUGGGGAAAUGUUCUCCUGCUUUAAGCCAAAGGACGAGGACACCCCACUGACACAGUAAGAGCUCAUCUGAGGAGUACUUUCUGAGCUGGAGUCUUCUGUUGAUUUUGCAAAUGAGGAAAUUAGGCACAGAGAUGUUAAGCAAGGAGGGGGACACACAGCUAAGGAAAGGGAAGAGUCAGGGUGGAAGACCAAGCCUUUGGAAGACCAAGUCUCUGGAGCCUGCCUGCCCAACGGGCCUGUGUGAGUUAGGCUCCAAGAUAAAGCUUUUAAGUGUCCCAGUAUCUUUCACACUAGUGCUCUUUUACGAGGACGCCGAGGCUUACAAAGAAAAUAUAUGUCUCUUGAAGGCCAGAGAUAAUAACACAGUUUAACUGGAUCUCGACUUGGAUUUAUGAAACGCUCAAAGCUGACUGUGUAAGAAUUUACUCUGCGGGGCCUUUAAUGCGGCCACCCGGGCUCGUGUGGGCCCUGCGCUUGGUGGAGUCUCCUGUCAGAAAAUCUCCUUCAUCACCAAGUCUGGAACUAUCACUUCCAGUUUGGGGGCCAGCAGAGCCCUGGUCUUUCCCCAUCUCAGGUGGAUCCCCACUGUAAAAUGUGAGCAGCGGUUUGAGGCGGAUUUUACAAGGACAGAGCGUUUGUUGCUUUUAUGGCGAUGACACUCAAAACAUUUAUAGUCACCGAGAGUAGAGAGUGGGACAGAAGUAUAAGGGAAAGAGAGGGAAGCAAGAGGUGAAGAGGGGAAAAGAAAAGAUUUGGGAGUGUCUGCAUGUCCAGCAAGUGAGUGCCUGGGGGCUUGGAAGGGCACCCAGUGCAGGCCUGAAGAGAGGUCGAAGUUCCUUUUCUAGGCUGGGGGAUAGCCCUGCUGAGGGACGGAGCAGUUGUGCAGUGUUGUGGGGGAAGGAGUCUGGGUUUUCCCUUCCCCACCCUGUGGUAAUAAUGCACUGUAUUAGGCCAUCUUCCCUCCGGCUUGACCCACACUUGGAAACUGUUUGUGAGGCUGUGAGCACGGAACUGAGGGCACUUAACGUAGAUAACCAGACCACUGCAUCAAGGCAAAUGCCAUUGCUGAUGGAACCAACCGAUGCACUAAGACACGUGACAGCCGCCAUUGCUGCUACUGCCAUUACAGCAACCGUCACCAGCCACACCACUACAACACCACCAUACCGUACCACGGGUUCAACCUCACCCCUACAGCUCCAUGACCACCACUACACCACCCCACCUACAGCUCAACACCACCAUUGCUACACUGUACCACAGUUAUGGCACCAUCACCAGUGGUCCACCAUCACCACCAAAACAACUGUCGCCUGUUUUUAGAGACACCACAUGGAAGCUCGGAAGACCUGAUACCUGUACUCUCUGGAAGAUGGCCAGUCCCUCCCUACAUGCCCCAAACAAAUCAUCUUGAGGAUCCUCAUUCGAAAGGACAUCUUAUCAGGGAAGCACUUGCGUCCCAUGUGAGUUUCCAAUUUGCUUGGACAAACUGGGGCAUUUCUUCUGCUUGUCCCCGUCUGAUGACAGAGGAGCAACACCAGCUCUGCCCCUCACUGUCACGGAAAUGUUUCCUGCUGGCACCUUUGCUCCCUCCCUUAAAAUCCCUGGGAAGGGGCCCUCGGGAGUGUCAGAACUUGUGCUGCCUCUCUGCCUGGAAGAACUGGUCACUGGAGUUAAGGAUCAUUCCGAACUGCAACUGGGGGACACAUGCCUUUGACAUCCCCGUCCUUUCUCCGCAGACUCCUUGGACUAAUGCUGUGGAGGACAUGUGUGAGGCGGUGUUUAAGGCUCUCAAAGCAAAUUCUUCAAGCAUCCUCAAGCACUUACAAACACUUGAUACUGUAAUUACAAAUAAUUCUCUUCUCAUUAAGCCUCUACCAGCCAGCAAUGCUAAUCUACUUUGAAUUACAUGCGCUGGAAGAUACAUGUUUCUUCAAAAAAAAAAAAAAAAAAAAAAGCUCAUAACUCAUUCUUUGAAUUCACACAAACUAAGCCCUGGUGAAAUUCACCUGACCUGGUAAAGAUUUACUGUGGGCUAAACAUAUAGACGGAGGGUGUCAAAGUGAGGAAGAUGGCCACCCCAUGGAGGGUGAGCAGGGAGAGCAGUGGUGAGGAAAACCAGAGCACUGACUUCCAGUGAGGGACGGCCCGGAUGUGCGGUGGAACCUGCAGGAGGUUAUAGGCAACACCCACAGACAGUGUUUCUAGGAAGUCCACAAACACCCAUAUACCUUGAACUGGAGCAGGCCUAGGAAGGGAACUGAGUAUCUAGUAUCUGGUCCUCACCUCCCCAGGCUCCGACACUCAGUGCCUCCCUGAGUGAAGGGCUCACAGUUCCUCUUAGGAGGUGGCAGACAGUCAGUUCCUACCAGAGGAAGUUGAAGGCCACGCUGGGCACUAAACACAGAACAAGUGAGGACUGAAGCUUUCGGUCCCAGACUCAGACCGAAGGGACGGAAUGAAUAAGAGGCCCUGGGUUGUGACUUGAGGCCUUUCUGGGGUGUCUGGGGGCCUUUCCCUCUGUACUUGUGCAUGCUCAGCACUGAGGACCUCAAGAUCUAGGCACGAUCUUCACACCUCAGACACACCACACGGCGCAGCCAUCCACUGUGAGAGACCAGGAGCACGGCCAUGUACAACCCGACAGAAUGAGGCUGGAGUGGGUGGGGUACCUACUCAAUCCUCACAGCUCCGUAAGUAGCUGUCACCACCUCUACUGUAUGGAUCUGAACGUGGGAGGCAUCAGAUAAUUGUGGUUUCAGCUCCAAGACACAGAGCUGAGAUCUUUACCAAUGGCUAUGUUUUAACUUUCAUUUCCUUCCCGGUGUCUGAUGAGCCCCCUGCUCCAAAUACUCCACACAUUUUCCUCCAGCCUAGCCCAGCCUUCCAUGCCUCCAUCCCAACUCACCUUUCAGGGCCCGAGCCUGUCAUGGACCACUCCAGGGAGCCUCUCCCACACUCGUGACCAGCUGGAACUUAUCACGUCCUUUGUGCUACGCCCAGGAUUUACAAUUGCCUCCUUAACAAUGUUUAUAGUCUGCUGCGCACAGUGAGUAUUUGUGUAACAUUUGCUCCCCCAACAUUUGGAAGCCUCCCUGGAGAAGGAUCAUCUGAUGAGCCACCUGUCUACCCACAGUUUCCUCAAUAGGACCUCUGUGUUUGUCGGGCCAAUCGGUGGCCCACAAACAGCCAACUGGGGCUGCCAGUUGGUCCUCUUGUUUGCACUUGUUCAGCUGUGUGCAGCAACAUGAAGAAGGACCCGUGACUGAGGGAUGUGGCGCGGCCGUGAAGGCAACAUGGCUUUCAAGCAGACGGAAGAACUGCCCAUGCUUAGAUAGCAAAGAAAACAGCAGCUCUCCCUGCUCUCCUCUGCUCCAAACAGCAUAUACGUGCUCAACCACCAAACGGCAUGUCUUUUUUAAUAAAUUCUUAAGACUUAGUUUU